rnacentral:rRNA from 1 species
CUAUACAUGCAGUCGUACGCUUCUUUUUCCACCGGAGCUUGCUCCACCGGAAAAAGAAGAGUGGCGAACGGGUGAGUAACACGUGGGUAACCUGCCCAUCAGAAGGGGAUAACACUUGGAAACAGGUGCUAAUACCGUAUAACAAUCGAAACCGCAUGGUUUUGAUUUGAAAGGCGCUUUCGGGUGUCGCUGAUGGAUGGACCCGCGGUGCAUUAGCUAGUUGGUGAGGUAACGGCUCACCAAGGCCACGAUGCAUAGCCGACCUGAGAGGGUGAUCGGCCACAUUGGGACUGAGACACGGCCCAAACUCCUACGGGAGGCAGCAGUAGGGAAUCUUCGGCAAUGGACGAAAGUCUGACCGAGCAACGCCGCGUGAGUGAAGAAGGUUUUCGGAUCGUAAAACUCUGUUGUUAGAGAAGAACAAGGAUGAGAGUAACUGUUCAUCCCUUGACGGUAUCUAACCAGAAAGCCACGGCUAACUACGUGCCAGCAGCCGCGGUAAUACGUAGGUGGCAAGCGUUGUCCGGAUUUAUUGGGCGUAAAGCGAGCGCAGGCGGUUUCUUAAGUCUGAUGUGAAAGCCCCCGGCUCAACCGGGGAGGGUCAUUGGAAACUGGGAGACUUGAGUGCAGAAGAGGAGAGUGGAAUUCCCAUGUGUAGCGGUGAAAUGCGUAGAUAUAUGGAGGAACACCAGUGGCGAAGGCGGCUCUCUGGUCUGUAACUGACGCUGAGGCUCGAAAGCGUGGGGAGCAAACAGGAUUAGAUACCCUGGUAGUCCACGCCGUAAACGAUGAGUGCUAAGUGUUGGAGGGGUUUCCGCCCUUCAGUGCUGCAGCUAACGCAUUAAGCACUCCGCCUGGGGAGUACGACCGCAAGGUUGAAACUCAAAGGAAUUGACGGGGCCCCGCACAAGCGGUGGAGCAUGUGGUUUAAUUCGAAGCAACGCGAAGACCCUUACCAGGUCUUGACAUCCUUGACCACUCUAGAGAUAGAGCUUCCCUUCGGGGCAAAGUGCCAGGUGGUGCAUGGUUGUCGUCAGCUCGUGUCGUGAGAUGUUGGGUUAAGUCCCGCAACGAGCGCACCCCUUAUUGUUAGUUGCCAUCAUUCAGUUGGCCACUCUACCAAGACUGCCGGUGCCAACCCGGAGGAAGGUGGGGAUG